UUACGUAACUUUCACUACCGCGUACAAAGCAGACGCGAGAAUGUAGCGAUAUUCUUAAACGUUUAAGAACCAUCCAAUCUGCGUCAUAUGUAAGAAAUAAUACGACAGAAGUAAAAAGCAUCUGCGUUAAGAAAACCGAUAUUUUUUAAGGAAUAAUUGGAACACGGUCAUUCGACGAACCGAACGUUGGCAGAGAGCUGGGAUUCUUGCUCGUUUGUUCGUUGUUGUAAAUUUAGAUCCACGGUACGCCUGGUUCCACGAACGUACACGCCUUACCAACGACGACAGAUGGAAACGAGAAGAAAGGAAAACAGCCUCCAGGCUAGCGAAUAUCCUCUGUCGCGCACGCGAUUAGUCGCAAAAGACGAAUAAUCUCCUGAUAAGCCGAUAAGAAUAAAUAACGGACAUGAGUUUAAGACUACUGUUAUAGAACUAGAUAUAUUCGUGGCGAAAUAUCAAUAGUGACCGACGUCGUGAUAAUGUUUGUUCGAAUUUCAGAAUAGGAAAAAACACAUUUUCUCUUCCGGUAUAAAUUAUCCCCACCUUUGUGUGCUACUAUCAUGGUCCAGAUAAUGAAGAAUCGUGCCAGGAAUUUCAAGGGUUAAUUAAAAGAUUAACGUGGUACAUGAGAAGAUCGGACUGGCAGGUUUGUUGAGAAAUAGGGCGAAUGAUGGUCCAAAUGUCAUACGAGAAAUGAUAGACACCGUUUUAGAAAGCAAGAAGGAAGAGCAAGGAGAAGAAAUGAACUACAGAGACUGCGGAGAAAACGGGAAAAUUAGACACGUAAUGUCUCAUUUUGUCUUUGUCCAUACGCCAUUUGAGAUAAUCUCUUGUGGAAUUUAAAAUGAAUCGAUGUAAUAUUUACAUCGACACAUUAUAUACAAAAAUUUAAUGAUAUAUGAAUUUAGUAACUUAAAAAUGAAUUUAUAUGCAUCAAGUAAUAGAUAAUAAUUAAGGAAUAAAUUAUUAUUACCGACAGUUCUUCCUCAAUUUAAUGGAAGAUACAAUACAAUCAUCAACAUGAUAAGUA